rnacentral:rRNA from 1 species
AUUGAACGCUGGCGGCAGGCUUAACACAUGCAAGUCGAGCGAGCGGCGGACGGGUGAGUAAUGUCUGGGACACUGCCUGAUGGAGGGGGAUAACUACUGGAAACGGUAGCUAAUACCGCAUAACAUCCGAUGUGCCCAGAUGGGAUUAGCUCGUAGGUGGGGUAAUGGCUCACCUGGGCGACGAUCCCUAUCUGGUCUGAGAGGAUGAACAGCCACCCUGUACCUGAGACACGGUCCAGACUCCUACGGGCGGCAGCAGUGGGGAAUAUUGCACAAUGUGCGGAAGCCUGAUGCAGCCAUGCCGCGUGUAUGAAGAAGGCCUUCGGGGUGUAAAGUACUUUCAGCGGGGGGGCGUUACCCGCAGAAGAAGCACCGGCUAACUCCGUGCCAGCAGCCGCGGUAAUAC